rnacentral:rRNA from 1 species
GAUCAUGGCUCAGGAUGAACGCUAGCUACAGGCUUAACACAUGCAAGUCGAGGGGCAGCGGGAUUGAAGCUUGCUUCAAUUGCCGGCGACCGGCGCACGGGUGAGUAACGCGUAUCAAACCUUCCGUACACUCAGGGGUAGCCUUUCGAAAGAAAGAUUAAUACCUGAUGGUAUGAUGAGAUUGCAUGAUAGCAUCAUUAAAGAUUUAUCGGUGAUGGAUGGGGA